GUUGUAGCUCAGUGGUAGAGCCCUUGCCUUGCAUGCGUGAAGAACUGGGUUUGAUUCUCAGCACAUACA
rnacentral:tRNA from 1 species